GGGGAAAGGGCUGUGGCUCAGGGGAAGAGCAUCCGUUUGGCACGCGGAAGGUCGCAGGCUCGAUCCCCGGCCUCCCCA
rnacentral:tRNA from 1 species